UAACAGCUAACCCAUGAAAUAAAGUUUAAACAAACUAUAAUUUAGUAGUACUUCAACUACAAGCAAUACAUUUUCAGUUCAGAGAAGAGAGAGAGAGAAGAAGAGGGUGGGGGGGUGGGGGGUGGGUUUGGGAUGGUGUUGCUGUGGUCUGGAUAGAUAACAUUUCUCUAAAUACUCCAACAGGCAUCUCUUGGUUUCUGCCACCUAGACAAUAACAUCUCAAACUCAACCUUAGCAACUUCUUCGAGUUGUUGCUGUUCUAUAAUAGCAUAAACAACAGUUUGUCAGGGGAACCAUCAGCUUUGUGAAGAUUCAAUACAAAGAUAUCCGAGUCCCAGAAUUUGCCACACACCAGUUUCACCAGGAUGAUUGUGGUUGCCCAUGCUUUGUAAUUAGGAAUAGCAGGGAAACUCUGGAAUGGUUAUUCAACAAUGAUGACCUCAAACAAUGUCAAGCAGAGCAUCAUGACUCCUCUCGGAUGGCACGACCAAGAUUUGUGGCAAGAGCUAGUCUAACGGAGCUCAAGGCAUGGGGUGGCAAGUCAGCUUCAACAAAGUCUGGGCACAGCCUUGUCAUCGACAACUCUUGCAGUUUAUUCAACAGAAGGUUUGUGUGAGACACAUACAAUAAAGGUCGCUCCUGCCAGUUGAGCAGUUUCAACUGCAGAGAAAAAUUUAUCAAAGGUAAAUAUGCAAUCAUUAUACAUGAUACUAAACUGGAGUGCAUUGACACGCAUUCUGAAAUCCAUAGAAACUUUGGUAACAUCAUGAACGCUAUCUCUCUCUAAUAAGAACUCAAAUAGAAAAGGGGUCCACUGAUUACUUGAGAAAAUGUCUCGCUUAUAGCCAAAAUAGUUUUGCUAAUGACACUAAAAAUCCAAAAUAGUUUUGGAAGGACCCGUUACACGAUACACCUGUUAUUUACAGGCAAAUUUAAAGUUGCAGAUGUAUUGCCAUUACGACCAUCGUGUAAUAGUAAUGGCUGUUAUUUACCAUCAGGAAAUGGUAAUGGCCAUUACUUUUAUUAUCCCUCUGUUGCAAUUAUUUUGCCCUUUUUUUUUCUUUAACUGUAUAUUCUCUCUUCUACAUUUGCUAUAUCUCUCAUAUUCUCUUAAAU
rnacentral:misc_RNA from 1 species